AAGGAGAGAGCAGUGCGCAGGCGUGUUCCCUAGACGCCGGCCCCUGGGAGGAGCAAGUCGUGGGCCGCCUUUGGGCUCAGCGGAUGGAGGCGCGGGGUGGGGUGGAGUCCUAAAGCGCACAGACUCGAAUUGCAGGAUUCUACCAAGAUCCCCCAUUGCAUUGCAUUUGUUUUCACUUCCCCUUAGUCUCCUCCAAUCUGUGACAAUUCUUCAGUGUGUCCUUGUCUUUCAAGACUUUAACUUUUGUUAUCUUUUAUCACUUUUGGAAGUUCCACCAAGAUGCCCAAGGGAUUCACCUUACAGAGCCAGGAAACAGAGGCUCAGGGUUGCUAAGAAACUUGCCCACGGUCACAUAGCCAGUAGGAAGCCCAGAGGUGCAAGGUGAACCCGGGUAGUCUGGCUCCAAAGAAUGUGAUCUUCAUCACAAAGCUAUACUUUCUCUGUUUGGGCAGUACUGCUACUGGUUAGGCUCUUGAAACCCCUUCGUAAGUUCCUCCCCUGAUUUGUUAAGGUAAGCCAUAUAUUUGUUUCUGUUUGUUUGUGUGUUUUGCUUUUAUUGAGAUAUAAUUGACAUAUUAUAUUAGUUACAGG